rnacentral:rRNA from 1 species
GAAGCAUGACCGUAAGGACAUGUGGACAGUAUUGGAGUGAGAAUGUUGGCAUGAGUUGCGAGAUGUGGGUGAGAAUCCCUCAGGCCGUAAACCCAAGGUUUCCAGGGGAAGGUUCGUCCGCCCUGGGGUAGUCGGGACCUAAGCUGAGGCCGAAAGGCGUAGGUGAUGGACAACAGGUUGAUAUUCCUGUACUACCGAUAACCGUUUG